rnacentral:rRNA from 1 species
GUGCCAGCAGCCGCGGUAAUACGGAGGGUCCGAGCGUAAAUCGGAAUCACUGGGCGUAAAGGGCGCGUAGGUGGUUUAUUAAGUCAGAUGCGAUAUCCCCGGGCUCAACCUGGGAACUGCAUUUGAUACUGGUAGGCUAGAGUUUGGUAGAGGUGAGUGGAAUUCCAGGUGUAGCGGUGAAAUGCGUAGAGAUCUGGAGGAACAUCAGUGGCGAAGGCGACUCACUGGGCCAAUACUGACACUGAGGUGCGAAAGCGUGGGUAGCAAACAGGAUUAGAUACCCGGGUAGUCC